GCGUGUGGGAAGAAGGCCUUCGGGUUGUAAACCACUUUUGUCAGGGAAGAAACGGCUCUUACUAAUAUUAGGGGCUAAUGACGGUACCUGAAGAAUAAGCACCGGCUAACUACGUGCCAGCAGCCGCGGUAAUACGUAGGGUGCAAGCGUUAAUCGGAAUUACUGGGCGUAAAGCGUGCGCAGGCGGCUUUGCAAGACAGAUGUGAAAUCCCCGGGCUCAACCUGGGAACUGCAUUUGUGACUGCAUGGCUAGAGUACGGUAGAGGGGGAUGGAAUUCCGCGUGUAGCAGUGAAAUGCGU
rnacentral:rRNA from 1 species